GGGUUGUGAGGUUAAGCGACUAAGCGUACACGGUGGAUGCCCUGGCAGUCAGAGGCGAUGAAGGGCGUACUAAUCUGCGAUAAGCGCCGGUAAGGUGAUAUGAACCGUUAUAACCGGCGAUACCCGAAUGGGGAAACCCAGUGUGAUUCGUCACACUAUCAUUAACUGAAUCCAUAGGUUAAUGAGGCGAACCGGGGGAACUGAAACAUCUAAGUACCCCGAGGAAAAGAAAUCAACCGAGAUUCCCCCAGUAGCGGCGAGCGAACGGGGAGGAGCCCAGAGCCUGAAUCAGCAUGUGUGUUAGUGGAAGCGUCUGGAAAGGCGCGCGAUACAGGGUGACAGCCCCGUACACAAAAGCGCAUGUGCUGUGAGCUCGAUGAGUAGGGCGGGACACGUGGUAUCCUGUCUGAAUAUGGGGGGACCAUCCUCCAAGGCUAAAUACUCCUGACUGACCGAUAGUGAACCAGUACCGUGAGGGAAAGGCGAAAAGAACCCCGGCGAGGGGAGUGAAAAAGAACCUGAAACCGUGUACGUACAAGCAGUGGGAGCACNNNNNNNNNNNNNUGACUGCGUACCUUUUGUAUAAUGGGUCAGCGACUUAUAUUCUGUAGCAAGGUUAACCGAAUAGGGGAGCCGGAGGGAAACCGAGUCUUAAUUGGGCGUUAAGUUGCAGGGUAUAGACCCGAAACCCGGUGAUCUAGCCAUGGGCAGGUUGAAGGUUGGGUAACACUAACUGGAGGACCGAACCGACUAAUGUUGAAAAAUUAGCGGAUGACCUGUGGCUGGGGGUGAAAGGCCAAUCAAACCGGGAGAUAGCUGGUUCUCCCCGAAAGCUAUUUAGGUAGCGCCUCGUGAAUUCAUCUCCGGGGGUAGAGCACUGUUUCGGCUAGGGGGCCAUCCCGGCUUACCAACCCGAUGCAAACUGCGAAUACCGGAGAAUGUUAUCACGGGAGACACACGGCGGGUGCUAACGUCCGUCGUGAAGAGGGAAACAACCCAGACCGCCAGCUAAGGUCCCAAAGUCAUGGUUAAGUGGGAAACGAUGUGGGAAGGCCCAGACAGCCAGGAUGUUGGCUUAGAAGCAGCCAUCAUUUAAAGAAAGCGUAAUAGCUCACUGGUCGAGUCGGCCUGCGCGGAAGAUGUAACGGGGCUAAACCAUGCACCGAAGCUGCGGCAGCGACACUGUGUGUUGUUGGGUAGGGGAGCGUUCUGUAAGCCUGCGAAGGUGGCCUGUGAGGGUUGCUGGAGGUAUCAGAAGUGCGAAUGCUGACAUAAGUAACGAUAAAGCGGGUGAAAAGCCCGCUCGCCGGAAGACCAAGGGUUCCUGUCCAACGUUAAUCGGGGCAGGGUGAGUCGACCCCUAAGGCGAGGCCGAAAGGCGUAGUCGAUGGGAAACGGGUUAAUAUUCCCGUACUUGGUGUUACUGCGAAGGGGGGACGGAGAAGGCUAUGUUGGCCGGGCGACGGUUGUCCCGGUUUAAGCGUGUAGGUGUGUGUUCCAGGUAAAUCCGGUUCACUUUAACACUGAGGCGUGACGACGAGGCACUACGGUGCUGAAGCAACAAAUGCCCUGCUUCCAGGAAAAGCCUCUAAGCAUCAGGUAACAUCAAAUCGUACCCCAAACCGACACAGGUGGUCAGGUAGAGAAUACCAAGGCGCUUGAGAGAACUCGGGUGAAGGAACUAGGCAAAAUGGUGCCGUAACUUCGGGAGAAGGCACGCUGACACGUAGGUGAAGUGAUUUACUCAUGGAGCUGAAGUCAGUCGAAGAUACCAGCUGGCUGCAACUGUUUAUUAAAAACACAGCACUGUGCAAACACGAAAGUGGACGUAUACGGUGUGACGCCUGCCCGGUGCCGGAAGGUUAAUUGAUGGGGUCAGCGCAAGCGAAGCUCCUGAUCGAAGCCCCGGUAAACGGCGGCCGUAACUAUAACGGUCCUAAGGUAGCGAAAUUCCUUGUCGGGUAAGUUCCGACCUGCACGAAUGGCGUAAUGAUGGCCAGGCUGUCUCCACCCGAGACUCAGUGAAAUUGAACUCGCUGUGAAGAUGCAGUGUACCCGCGGCAAGACGGAAAGACCCCGUGAACCUUUACUAUAGCUUGACACUGAACAUUGAGCCUUGAUGUGUAGGAUAGGUGGGAGGCUUUGAAGUGUGGACGCCAGUCUGCAUGGAGCCGACCUUGAAAUACCACCCUUUAAUGUUUGAUGUUCUAACGUGGACCCGUUACCCGGGUUGCGGACAGUGUCUGGUGGGUAGUUUGACUGGGGCGGUCUCCUCCUAAAGAGUAACGGAGGAGCACGAAGGUUGGCUAAUCCUGGUCGGACAUCAGGAGGUUAGUGCAAUGGCAUAAGCCAGCUUGACUGCGAGCGUGACGGCGCGAGCAGGUGCGAAAGCAGGUCAUAGUGAUCCGGUGGUUCUGAAUGGAAGGGCCAUCGCUCAACGGAUAAAAGGUACUCCGGGGAUAACAGGCUGAUACCGCCCAAGAGUUCAUAUCGACGGCGGUGUUUGGCACCUCGAUGUCGGCUCAUCACAUCCUGGGGCUGAAGUAGGUCCCAAGGGUAUGGCUGUUCGCCAUUUAAAGUGGUACGCGAGCUGGGUUUAGAACGUCGUGAGACAGUUCGGUCCCUAUCUGCCGUGGGCGCUGGAGAACUGAGGGGGGCUGCUCCUAGUACGAGAGGACCGGAGUGGACGCAUCACUGGUGUUCGGGUUGUCAUGCCAAUGGCACUGCCCGGUAGCUAAAUGCGGAAGAGAUAAGUGCUGAAAGCAUCUAAGCACGAAACUUGCCCCGAGAUGAGUUCUCCCUGAGACUUAAAGUCUCCUGAAGGAACGUUGAAGACGACGACGUUGAUAGGCCGGGUGUGUAAGCGCAGCGAUGCGUUGAGCUAACCGGUACUAAUGAACCGUGAGGCUUAACCUUACAACGCCGAAG
rnacentral:rRNA from 1 species